GUGAAUUGCCGGUGAUUUCAAAUCAGUGCGGUGAAUUGCCGAUGAUUUCAGUGCUGUUUUUGAAAAUCCAUUUGUUUUUAACCCUUUGCAUGCCAUGCUGCAUACUCUUUAUUUAUACGUAAUAAACAGGUACAGCUAAAAAGACCAAAACAAACUGCAGCAGUCUACAGCUGCAGAAAGACUUUUCAUGAUUUCAGAUCGCUGCAGUGAAUUGCCAAUGCUGUCACACAUGACAAUUUGUGGAUUUAUUUUAACCCUUUAUGUGCUGUGCUAUAUUGUGUAGCACCCAAAAAACCGACACGUUCAGCAUGGCACUUAAAGGGUUAAGCAAAACCCCAAUUUUCAAAAACAGCACUGAAAUCAUCGGCAAUUCACCGUACUGAUUUGA